UACGAGGGGGGCGAGCGUUGUUCGGAUUUACUGGGCGUAAAGGGCGCGUAGGCGGCCUUGUCAGUCAGGCGUGAAAGCCCCGGGCUCAACCUGGGAACGGCGCUUGGGACGGCGAGGCUGGAGUUCGGGAGAGGAGAGUGGAAUUCCCAGUGUAGAGGUGAAAUUCGUAGAUAUUGGGAAGAACACCGGUGGCGAAGGCGGCUCUCUGGACCGACACUGACGCUGAGGCGCGAAAGCGUGGGGAGCAAACAGG
rnacentral:rRNA from 1 species